rnacentral:rRNA from 1 species
AUUGAACGCUGGCGGCAGGCUUAACACAUGCAAGUCGAGCGGGGGAGGGUAGCUUGCUACCGGACCUAGCGGCGGACGGGUGAGUAAUGCUUAGGAAUCUGCCUAUUAGUGGGGGACAACAUUCCGAAAGGAAUGCUAAUACCGCAUACGUCCUACGGGAGAAAGCAGGGGAUCUUCGGACCUUGCGCUAAUAGAUGAGCCUAAGUCGGAUUAGCUAGUUGGUGGGGUAAAGGCCUACCAAGGCGACGAUCUGUAGCGGGUCUGAGAGGAUGAUCCGCCACACUGGGACUGAGACACGGCCCAGACUCCUACGGGAGGCAGCAGUGGGGAAUAUUGGACAAUGGGGGGAACCCUGAUCCAGCCAUGCCGCGUGUGUGAAGAAGGCCUUAUGGUUGUAAAGCACUUUAAGCGAGGAGGAGGCUAUUCUAGUUAAUACCUAGGGAUAGUGGACGUUACUCGCAGAAUAAGCACCGGCUAACUCUGUGCCAGCCGCCGCCGUAA